GUGGGGAAUAUUGGACAAUGGGCGAAAGCCUGAUCCAGCCAUGCCGCGUGUGUGAAGAAGGUCUUCGGAUUGUAAAGCACUUUAAGUUGGGAGGAAGGGCAGUAAGUUAAUACCUUGCUGUUUUGACGUUACCGACAGAAUAAGCACCGGCUAACUUCGUGCCAGCAGCCGCGGUAAUACGAAGGGUGCAAGCGUUAAUCGGAAUUACUGGGCGUAAAGCGCGCGUAGGUGGUUUUGUAAGUUGGAGGUGAAAUCCCCGGGCUCAACCUGGGAACUGCCUCCAAAACUGCAUGACUAGAGUACGGUAGAGGGUAGUGGAAUUUCCUGUGUAGCGGUGAAAUGCGUAGAUAUAGGAAGGAACACCAGUGGCGAAGGCGGCCAUCUGGACCAGCACUGACACUGAGGCACGAAAGCGUGGGGAGCAAACAGGAUUAGAAACCCCAGUAGUCC
rnacentral:rRNA from 1 species